AGCUAUAUAUUAAAGAGAUUUAUUUAUAUAAAUAGGUUUGCUAGCUGAUUGUGUAUAUACGCAGGCCAAUGCUUCUAAUUUCAUAGUAAGCUCGCUUGCUAUGAAAUAGGCAACCAGUAAUAUAAGCAAGUGUGUGCUAUUUAUAGCGCUAGCCUACAAACCUAUAAUUAUAUUAACUCUAAGAGAAAUUUAAUAAUAAACGAAGUGAAUUGAAAUAUCUUAGUAACUUUAGGAAAAGAAAUCAAAAGAGAUUCUAUGAUUAGCGUGAGCUAAAAUAGACUAGCCUAAAAAGUCAAAUGGUGGAUAAACUGUUUAAAUUAAAUGGGGAACCUUCCUCAAAGGCUAAAUAUAAUGUAUAAGCGAUAGUGGAAAGUACCGUGAGGGAACCAAAACAAAAACAGUGAUUUUAUAAGCAGUUCGGGAAAAUAAAAAAAAGUUAGAACGUACCUUUUGCAUAAUGGGUCACCAAGUUAACAUUAGAUGCGAGUAGGAGGCUUUGCCCAUACAUACGUAGUUAAACCGAGCGUUAAAAUAACGGUAAGUAUCUAAAGUUAGACCCGAAGCCUGGUGAUUUUACCAUAAUCAGGAUUAUAAAAGUCCGAACGGAAUAUUGUAGCAUAAAUAUCCGAAGAAUUAUGGUAGGUGUAGUGAAAGACAAUACUGACCAGGAUAGCUGGUUUUCUGCGAAACCUAUAACAGUAGGCAAUUUAAGUAUAAUAUCUUAGCAGGUACAGAAUUUAAUCUCAGACAAGACAUAAGGCUUAGCUUGCUAGCAAGUAAAGCUCAUGUUUUAUUUUGUACAAAUUGGGGGAUCAUGAAGAUUUUAUCAGUGAGUAUGUAGACUCGGAAUGGCAAAGAUAUAUCUUAAAUCAUCAGACAUAGAAUGAUAAGGUUGUAUGUCAAAAGGGAAACAGCCCAGAACAAGAGUUAAGGUUCCUAAAUUAUUAGUUGAGUGAAAUUAAGAAGGUUUUUAUUAAAGUCGACAAGGAGAUAGGCUUAGAAGCAGCCAUAAUUUUAUGACCUCGUAACAGAGCGCUUGUUAAGUUUUAAAAGCAUCGAAAAUUUAUCGGAUCUAAACAAUAUACCGAAACCUUGUCCAUAUUAUUUUAUAAUUAAAGCUUAAUUAUAAUUAAAUGGGGUAGCAGAACGUUGAGCUAAAUUAAGAUUUUUAUUUUUUAAAUGAAAUUAUAAUAAUUUAACUCAAGUGAUAAUGGUGACAUGAGUAACUAAAAGAAAAAAUAAAAUUUUUCCGCCUAAAGCUUAUGGAUGUAAUUAAGUAACGGCCUCUAAGUUUAUAUUAUCUAAAGAUUUAAACGAUGAGAUAAUCUUUUGUACUAAGGACGACAUUUUAAGUGAAAAAUGUACUGGAAAAAUAGUACUAAAUUAAUGGGUAUAGCUAAUUAGUUAGCUAUAGCUAUAAAUGAAAAGUAACCGUACCUAGAAUCUGAAACAAGUAAGCUAGUAGAGAAUACGAAGGCGUAAAUGAGCUAACAAUCAUAAAGGAACUCGGCAAAUUGACUACCGUAACUUCGGGAUAAGGAGAGCUCAUUAUUCUUGAUUAAUAUCAGGUAAAGAGGAAGAAGCAUGAAAUAGUGUUGUACGACUGUUUAAUUAAAACACAGCACUUUGCUGAAAGAUUAAAAAUCUAAGUAUAGAGUGUGAUGUCUGCCCGGUGCCGGCUGGUUAACAGAUAUAAUUAAAUAUACUAAUAUUUGAUGUAGACGGAAACCCCGGUUAAAGGCGGCCUUAACGUGAGGGUCCUAAGGUAGCGAAAUGCCUUGGCCGUUAAAUGCGGUCUUGCAUGAAUGAUGUAACGAUACAACAGCUGUCUCUAUGAUUGACUCAGUGAAAUUGGAAUAGCUGUGCAGAUACAGUUUACCUCUAGUUAGACGAGAAGACCCUAUGCAGCUUUACUGUCACUAAUUAUAGAGUAUGAUAAACAAUUUUCAGAUUAUAAGGUAAUUGACGGCUAGCUUGUUCAGCAAGCUAGCUCUAUGACAAUGAGAAUCCUUUAUUUUUUUUUCAUAUGAAUGAAUUGGUUUAGGAUUAUGAGUAGGUAGCGGCUUCUGCUACUUGGCGUAAGCAUUGCUUGCGUCAGGUGUCUGAAGUAUGCAUUCCAGCUCAUGCAUAGUAAAUCAACCUAAUUCAGCUUAUUUUCCUUUCUGCCAUAAGCGCAUAAUGAUAGAUUUAACUUAAAUUUUGAUUUAUGCCAGCUGCAGAAAUAGAUAAGUACCCUUGGCUAAGGAACUAUCGCUAGGGGACAGUUUAUGUGGGGCACAGACCCUGUAAAGAGUAAACAGGAGUGUCUAAUAAUUUAUAAUUAUUUUGUUUGCGAUUUAAGAUAGUGAAACUAUUUUUAAUCAUAUAAAAUUAUUUAUAUGUACAUUCGUUGUAUAUAUAUUUAAAAAAAGGUAGGAUUUUCACUAUAUAGAAAUUAGAGAUAAUAAAAAUAUUAAGAAUAUACGUUUCAGGCUGGGAGGGGGAAGCUCCUCCCUUUGAAAGGUAGCACUAAUAUUUUUUAGCUAUUAAGACAGGCUAUCAAGCUAGGCUCUAAUAGUUAUGUAUUAAUUAUCUAAAAAGCUCAACGGCUAAAUCUUGCCUUACUGUUUGAUUAUCAACAAAUCUUACAGUUGCGUAAGCAGGGCAUAGGAUCACAAGAUGCAACAAGGAAAGAUCUUGGAUUAUUGGAAAAGCUACGCUAGGGAUAACAGGCUAAUUUGCGCAAGAGUGUACAAAAUGAGUGCGCGGUUUGGCACCUCGAUGUCGGCUUAACUUAUCCUCAUGGAUGCAGGAACUAUGUAGGGUGCGACUGUUCGUCGAUUAAAAAGUUACAUGAGCUGGGUUAAAUACGUCGUGAGACAGUAUGGUUUCUAUCUUCUAGGGGGAAUUAGAAUAUAAUAAGAACUAACUUUUGUACGAAAGGAACAAGAAGAAUUUAAUUUGUAAAAGGGUUAAAUAAUAGUUACUAACCUAUGGUUUACCUGUUGUCUAUGUGCCCAAAUAUUAAAAUAUAUAUGGAGGAAGCUCCUUAAGAGCUUCCCCCGCAAAUUAUAUAUAUCUGUAUAGCUAGCCUGCGGACUCCGGUUAUGCCUGAGUUUGGCAAGCUAAAGCUAUACAUAGGGAUGUUUCUUUCACUAAGAUAAAUAUAUAGCAUAGGCACGGCAGGAAAGCUAAGUUGGUUAAGGAUAAGUGCUGAAAGCAUAUAGGCACGAAGCUUAUCUUAAGAUAUUUCUUAAAUAUACGUAAAAUAUUAUUACGAAGGAUGUAAUAUAGGCUUUAUCCGUACGAAUCAGGAGAUUUUUAAGAAUAAAGUACUAAUUUUAUAAAUAACUAUUUAU
rnacentral:rRNA from 1 species